CGCGGCAGGGCUGCGCGGGUUGUGCUGGCCACAGCUCCCCGCACUGCCGCCGCCCGUCCCCGCCCAGGGGUUGGGACACUGGGGUUCACACCCUUGGGGACUUUGCCCUGGCAUGAUACCUCCCGGGGUCAGGGAAGGGCCGCGCCUGGCUCGCCAGGCUGGUACUGGAUGGGAGCUGGGGACCGGGCAGGGGCUCCGGGAGCAGCCGGGACACCACUCGGGGGACCACUGAGCCCGGGGCGGCGGAGCACAGUGCUGCGCCUGCGCACGACUGAACGCUGGGUCCCCCUGCGGGGAGCCAGCGGCUGCGCGGGAGGCGAGGCUGCAUGCAGGCCGAGAGGUCGCUCCCCUCUCUCUUAACAUGUGAAGUGAUGCCCGGUUGCAUCCACACCUAUUUUGAUUGCGCUUUUUGAUCUCUCCUGCAGGCGGUCGAAGUUCACAAAAAAUAUCAAAUGUGGUUCAACAGUAAACAAAGAUUUGAUUCCGCAAAACCUGAGACUUCUCACACUUCUGACACUUUCUGCAAAACCUGAGACGUCUCGCACAGAACCCUUCUUUGCAGAUAAAGGAGGCGCCAUCACAGAACCAAAGAAUACCAGUUUGAGCAAGGAAAUUACUUCCUUACAUUUAGUGAUUAGAAAGAAAGUUUUUAAAUUAUCUCCUCAAAUUCUUUAUCAUUUCAAGUUUCUUUUCUUUUUUCUUUUCUUUCUUCUUUUUUUUUUAAAAAAAAAACAAAACUGUGGCUAAAAACAACAGUUAAUCAUUUUAAUCCUUGGGUGUGCAACCGUCACCAGGCACCCUCCCUAGACUGGUCGCCAUCUCAGAUGGAAACUUGUCUGGUAAACUAAUCAUUGCUCAUUCUCCACCCUCCCCGUCAAAACCAAGUAACCUGCAUUUUGCUCUCAGUCUCUAUGGAUUUGACUAUUUAUGCAACCUCAUCUAUUUUUCCUUUCAUGACUGGCUUAUGCCAGUUACAUAAUAUGUUCAAGGUGUGUCCACACUGUAAUGCCCAUCAGCACUGGAAAUGCUGGCAGCCAGCGUGGUGUUCUUAACUCUUGGCAGCAGAUUCUGCCCACACCUCCAGAGGCGCCGCUUUCCCCCUUUCCUGAGCUGCGGCUCACGCCUCUUUCUUCACUUCCGUUUUUAAUGCCCCUAGCUUGUCUCCUGGAGUCUUACUUUUCCUUCUGUAUUUGGGCAAAACGUUACCUGUUCUCUGGGUAGCCUGUCUCCAAAGGUCCGACAUGUCCUUCCUUUCGCUCUGUGCCCUUCCCAUGCCAUAUACGGCUUUUAGAGGAUGUCUUACUCUGCCCAUCUACCACAACGUAUUACCUGGGCCUCGGCCCUUUACAGAGAACAAACGUUCCUGACGGUUUUGGAGGAUAAGAAACCCAAAAUCAAAGCACCGACCCGCCAGCUGUGUUUGUUAAGCUGCGCUCUCUGGUUCUAAGAUGGUCCCUUCAACGCAGAUCGGUCCCCUAAGGUGAAAAGCUCUGAGCACAGAGACAGAAGAACAAAGGCGAGUGAAAGCUAUGCACUCCUGGGGGCAGAAUCUUCAGUGACCUAAUCUUCUAACGGCCUGACUUCCUGAUUCAGUGAUAUUGGCGGUUGUUUCCACAUAUUGCAAUUACUCAAAAUGAAAAUAAAUCUAAAAGUAUGGAGCUAGGCAGCAGUGUCUUCCUCUGCCUAAUCAUAUUUACAAAAAUCAAAUAUUUAUUAAGGCCUCUCGCAGUCCAAGGUCUGACCUGGGUUUUCUCACUCCUGCUAAUGACUAAGCUGCAAUGGGCCUUCUGUCAAAGGUCAUGGUGUCCAGGGAGUGAGACAGUCUCACUUGGUGCUCAGGGAGGUACAGUGUGGCCAUAGUCAGGGAAACUUUCCUAUAAGCAUGUGUAAUUAGAAUUUGGGUGAUUUGGGGAAUUUUAAGUAUUCAUACCUGUUUCUUCACUUCAGUAAUUAAUUACAGAAGCACAUAUGGGGAUUUGUACAUUGGAUAUAGUAAUCUCUCAAUGCUGUGAUGUGUAAAGAAGUUCGACGCGAUUGUAAAGGCUACGCUGAGUCCGUUCAUUGAGACACGAAUCUGCUCUAUUUCCAAAGAUCAAUUUGUGGUUUGAUAAGUUUUAGACCUUUCUGGGUUGAAUUACUACCAGAAAAAUCUUUGUAAUUAUUGCUAUUUAAAAUUUAUUUCUACUCAUGCAUAUGCAUGUGUUUAUGUGUAUGAGCACGUGUAUGCAGACACCCACGGUGCUGGAGUUACAAGUAGUUACAAACCCCCUGAUGUGAGUUCUGGAAGCCAUAAUCCAGUUCUCUGCAAAAGCAACAAGUGUUCUUAACAGAUGGGCCAUCUCCCCAGCCCCAGAUCUCUGUAGUCAAAAUGAAAACAUUGCUGUCAGCCAUGCUGUUUCUCCAUCAAAGAAAACCAAUUCCAUAUUUUCUAAGUGUAAUUCACGUGUUUUCCCCACACUUCCUCCUUUCCUUGACUCUUCCUAUAUUUAGGCCUCUUUUAUUAAAACUUUAUUUAUUC